GCGGGCGUGGCGGAACCGGCAGACGCGCCGGACUUAGGAUCCGGUGGGAUCCCCGUGGGGGUUCGAAUCCCCCCGCCCGCACCA
rnacentral:tRNA from 1 species